AGCUCCAAUAGCGUAUAUUAAAGUUGUUGCGGUUAAAAAGCUCGUAGUUGGAUUUCUGCUUGGAACAGCUGCUGUACCCUCUGGGUCACAGACAGUUCGGUCUGAGCAUCUUCGUGAGGACCGUGUCUGCACUUGAUUGUGUGGCACGGGUUUCAUGACAUUUACUUUGAGGAAAUUAGAGUGUUUCACGCAGGCGUCCGCCUUGAAUACGUUAGCAUGGAAUAAUGCGACAGGACCUCGGUCCAUUUUGUUGGUUUCUUGGGUUGAGGUAAUGAUUAACAGGGAUGGUUGGGGGCAUUCGUAUUUAACUGUCAGAGGUGAAAUUCUUGGAUUUGUUAAAGACGAUCUACUGCGAAAGCAUUUGCCAAGGAUGUUUUCA
rnacentral:rRNA from 1 species